rnacentral:rRNA from 1 species
GACGAACGCUGGCGGCGUGCUUAACACAUGCAAGUCGAGCGGUAAGGCCCUUUCGGGGGUACACGAGCGGCGAACGGGUGAGUAACACGUGGGUGACCUGCCCUCAGCUCUGGGAUAAGCCUGGGAAACUGGGUCUAAUACUGGAUAUGACUCCACGGUGCAUGUCGUGGGGUGGAAAGCCUUGUGCGGCUGAGGAUGGGCCCGCGGCCUAUCAGCUUGUUGGUGGGGUGANGGCCUACCAAGGCGACGACGGGUAGCCGGCCUGAGAGGGCGACCGGCCACACUGGGACUGAGACACGGCCCAGACUCCUACGGGAGGCAGCAGUGGGGAAUAUUGCACAAUGGGCGAAAGCCUGAUGCAGCGGCGCCGCGUGAGGGAUGACGGCCU